AAUCAACGCUGGCGGCGUGCCUCAGACAUGCAAGUCGAACGAGAACCUCCCUUCGGGGAGGAGACAGUGGCGCACGGGUGAGUAACACGUGGGUAAUUUACCUUUGGGUGGGGAACAACAGCCGGAAACGGCUGCUAAUACCGCAUAAUGCAGCGGCUCGACAUCGAGACAGUUGUUAAAGCGGGGGAUCGCAAGACCUCGCGCCUGAAGAGAAGCCUGCGGCGGAUUAGCUAGUUGGUAGGGUAAUGGCCUACCAAGGCGACGAUCUGUAACCGGCCUGAGAGGGCGGUCGGUCACACUGACACUGACAUACGGGUCAGACUCCUACGGGAGGCAGCAGUCGGGAAUUUUGGGUCGAAUGGGCGAAAGACCUGACCCAGCAACGCCGCGUGAAGGAUGAAGCUUUUCGG
rnacentral:rRNA from 1 species